GCCAGGUAUGGUGGUGUGCACCUGUAGUCCCAGCUACUGAGGAGACUGAGGUGGGGGGAUCACUUGAGCCCAGGAGUUCAAGGGUGCAGUGCGCUAUGACUGUGGCUGUGAAUAGCAACUGCAUUCCAGCCUGGGCAACAGAGUAAGACCCCCAUCUCUA
ensembl:misc_RNA Metazoa_SRP Metazoan signal recognition particle RNA